rnacentral:rRNA from 1 species
CACGGAGGGUGCAAAUGAAUAUUGUUAGCUUACAGUUAUAUUAUAAAAGGAUUUAGGAUUAAAAAUGAAUUUAUUAGGUGAAAUUUUAAGUUUAUAUAAUUUUUAUAUAAAGUAUAUAGAAGCUGGGAAAUUUAAAAAUUAAACUAGGAUUAGAUACCCUAUUAUUUUAAAUGUAAAUAAAAGAAGGCUUGAGUAGUAAUAGUUAUGGGCUUGAAACUCAAAGAAUUUGGCGGUGUUUUAGUCUUUUCAGAGGAACCUGUUCCGUUAUCGAUAGUCCACGUAAAACCUUACUUAACUUUGUUUUCAGCUUGUAUACCGCCGUCGUCAGAAUGUCCUUGGAGGGGUUUAAUUUUCUUAGAUUUUAAUUAGAAAUGAUGUCAGGUCAAGGUGCAGUUUAUGGUUAAGUGGAGAUGGGUUACAAUAAAUUUAUUUAAUAUGGAAAUUGCUUUGAAAUAAGUGUUAGAAAGUGGAUUUGAAAGUAAUUAAGUUAAUUAUGUUAAUUUGAUUUUGGCUCUAAAACAUGCACACAUCGCCCGUCGCUCUCGUUUUUUAAGGCGAG